GGUGACCAUGGGGCACUGGGCGCCUGCGGGUAUCAGAUGCAUGUCAAGGUGGACUUUGUCAUACUCUCUUUGGGACACAGACCUGUCACCUAUUUAUUACUGUCUCAUUUCUACCCACCCCCGUCCUGGACACAGGGGACAUUCUCUUCCGCCAAGCAGCAGGAGCCUCUGCCCCGAUGAGCUGCUGGGGUUGCAUAAGCGGCUUCACUUGAAAAAAGCAAAUCACCUCAAGGACCUCGUCUCAGACUCCAAGCUCCUUUAUCAUAAGAACGGAUCAGAUUCCCUUCCUGUCCUUCAAAGUGCUUCUUGCUGUUGUAUUGAGCAGGUCUCUGGUCCGGACUGACGGUCUGCGUGUCCCUGCAGACCCUCUUCUACCUGGUGCACAUCUGGAGGACGGACUGGACCAGCGCCGCCCAGCAGGUGAGGGGCAGCGCGGCCCCUGGGAGGGGGCCCCUCGGGGUCAGAGGGUAGCCACGCACUGGCAGCCUGACUCACCUGGGCUCGUGGUGCGCGUCGCGUGUGGGUCGGGGCCGAAGAAGGUCUCACGCCAGCAGGUGUUUGUUCCGUCAAUACUGAGCCCGUUGCGUCUGCUGGGGAGGCUCGGCCGGAACCAAACCAGCCUAGAAAAUACUUUGCAGAGUUCCCGUCAGGGCUCAGUGGAAACCAGUCUGUCCAGCACCCGUGAGGACGCAGGUUCCAUCCCUGGCCUCUCUCAGUGGGUUAAGGAUCCAGCGUUGCUGUGAGCUACAGUGGGACUCGGAUCCUGUGUCGCUGUGGCUGUGGUGCAGGCCGGCAGCUGUAGUUCCGAUUCGACUCCUAGCCUGGGAACUUCCUUCUGCUGUGGGUGCCCCCCUAAAAAAAAAAAACCGCGGUGUCGUCGCCCUGGGCGAAUAGCGGUGUGUCCUGUUUCUCCUGCUCUGUCGUCCGGAUUAGGCCUCCUGAGAAAACCCCGUGGUCGGUGGUUCCCUGUAAGCAGGGCGAGCGGCCCGUGCCCUGUGGGA
rnacentral:lncRNA from 1 species